rnacentral:snRNA from 1 species
AAGCUCACUUCAGUAGCACAAAUACUAACAUUAGAACAACCCAGAGAAGAUUAGCACAGCCUGUGGAAGGAUGACAGGCAGAUUCUGUAAAGACAAACACAGGAUG